CGGAGCGUGGCCUAGUGGCUAGGGCGCCCCGCAGUACUGCGGGGAGAUUCGCGGGUUCAAGUCCCGCCGCUCCGACCA
rnacentral:tRNA from 1 species